rnacentral:rRNA from 1 species
AACGAACGCUGGCGGCAGGCUUAACACAUGCAAGUCGAGCGCGCCGCAAGGGGAGCGGCAGACGGGUGAGUAACGCGUGGGAAUCUACCCAUCCCUACGGAAUAGCUCCGGGAAACUGGAAUUAAUACCGUAUACGCCCUACGGGGGAAAGAUUUAUCGGGGAUGGAUGAGCCCGCGUUGGAUUAGCUAGUUGGUGGGGUAAAGGCCUACCAAGGCGACGAUCCAUAGCUGGUCUGAGAGGAUAAUCAGCCACAUUGGGACUGAGACACGGCCCAAACUCCUACGGGAGGCAGCAGUGGGGAAUAUUGGACAAUGGGGGCAACCCUGAUCCAGCCAUGCCGCGUGAGUGAUGAAGGCCUUAGGGUUGUAAAGCUCUUUCACCGGGGAAGAUAAUGACGGUACCCGGAGAAGAAGCCCCGGCUAACUUCGUGCCAGCCGCCGCAGUAA